rnacentral:rRNA from 1 species
GGAUUGCAGGCUGCAACUCGCCUGCAUGAAGCCGGAAUUGCUAGUAAUCGCGGAUCAGAAUGCCGCGGUGAAUACGUUCCCGGGCCUUGUACACACCGCCCGUCACACCAUGAGAGCCGGGGGCACCCGAAGUCGGUAGUCUAACCUGCAAGGGGGACGCCGCCGAAGGUGAAACUGGUAAUUGGGUGAAGUCGUAACAAGGUACC